AAAGGGUCCGUAGGGCGGAUCUGUAAGUCAGUGGUGAAUUCUCAUAGCUUAACUAUGAAACUGCCAUUGAUACUGCAGGUCUUGAGUAAAGUAGAAGUGGCUGGAAUAAGUAGUGUAGCGGUGAAAUGCAUAGAUAUUACUUAGAACACCAAUUGCGAAGGCAGGUCACUAUGUUUUAACUGACGCUGAUGGACGAAAGCGUGGGGAGCGAACAGGAUUAGAUACCCUGGUAGUCCACGCCGUAAACGAUGCUAACUCGUUUUUGGGCUUUAGGGUUCAGAGACUAAGCGAAAGUGAUAAGUUAGCCACCUGGGGAGUACGUUCGCAAGAAUGAAACUCAAAGGAAUUGACGGGGGCCCGCACAAGCGGUGGAUUAUGUGGUUUAAUUCGAUGAUACGCGAGGAACCUUACCAAGGCUUAAAUGGGAAUUGACAGGUUUAGAAAUAGACUUUUCUUCGGACAAUUUUCAAGGUGCUGCAUGGUUGUCGUCAGCUCGUGCCGUGAGGUGUUAGGUUAAGUCCUGCAACGAGCGCAACCCCUGUCACUAGUUGCCAUCAUUCAGUUGGGGACUCUAGUGAGACUGCCUACGCAAGUAGAGAGGAAGGUGGGGAUGACGUCAAAUCAUCACGGCCCUUACGCCUUGGGCCACACACGUAAUACAAUGGCCAGUACAGAGGGCAGCUACCAGGCGACUGGAUGCGAAUCUCGAAAGCUGGUCUCAGUUCGGAUUGGAGUCUGCAACUCGACUCUAUGAAG
rnacentral:rRNA from 1 species